UCCACAUCUCUCCAUCACCGGGACCUCUCCCACCGCCCCCCUCCUCCCACUGCCACCAGGACCCCCCCUCUCAGCCCCGCCAGACCCUCAUCUCUCCCCCACCAGCAGCGUGGGGCCGGGGGCGACUGAGGGAUUCAUUGGGAGAAGAUGAAUCCUCACUGAUCCAUCCGGAUCCUCUCUCGUGCCCCAUCUAUGCCGGGCGGGUGCUGCUGUGUACUUCUAUUUGCUAUCAGUCCUGCAAAAUAAAUAAAUAAAUAAUGAAGAAGGGGAAAAAAAAAAAAAAAAAAAACCUUUUCAUUUUUUUUUCAUGGCAUGUGUAUUGAAAAAAAAAAAAAAAAAAAAGAUGAUGUAGAGGAAAAAAAAGGAAGCCCUUAGGCCACUGGUGCACUGUGUGAGAAGCAAACAUGGUGUAUGCUAAUUGGCUCCAGGUACUUACAGCAAGAUUGAGACUUGUACCGUUGCCACAGAUUGUUGGAAAUUCCUCCGAUAAGCUGACAGAUGAAUGUGUCUCUCUCCUGGAGAGGUGAGAGAGCAGCAAAACGCUUCCAAGAGCCCGGGCAGCGAAGCAGAGAUAUUUCAGGUUCAGUGAUGACAAAUACAUCGGGCGACUCCAAGGGAUGGCAACACGCAGGCGCCUUUAAGCAAAGUUCAAGCAGCUCCUAAAUUAACCAAAGCGAAUCCCCGAAGAUGCAGUAUUUAUGCACUGAAGCAAGAAGGGAGGGCUCUCAUCUCACAAGUCUCAUCAGCCAUCACAGCCCAAGAAGCGUGAGAGAGAAAAUAAGAGUUAUUUACCUUUUGCUAAUUGGAAGCCGGGCGGCUCAGCGUGCUGCCCGAAUGAGGAGGGAAGGCGAGCCCGUCCCGCGGCAGGCGGCCACGCUGCCAGGACACACGUAUCCACCACUGGGAAUUGACUUUAAAUGGAGGGCUGCAAACUGGUAUUUCAUUCAUCACUGUAUCAUAUAGAAAGCCUGAGCUGAAUAAAACCUUCCGAAAGAAGAUGAGGAGACGCUCU
rnacentral:lncRNA from 1 species